rnacentral:rRNA from 1 species
GUACACAAAAAUGCACAUAUUGUGAGCUCGAUGAGUAGGGCGGGACACGUGGUAUCCUGUCUGAAUAUGGGGGGACCAUCCUCCAAGGCUAAAUACUCCUGACUGACCGAUAGUGAACCAGUACCGUGAGGGAAAGGCGAAAAGAACCCCGGCGAGGGGAGUGAAAAAGAACCUGAAACCGUGUACGUACAAGCAGUGGGAGCCUCUUUAUGGGGUGACUGCGUACCUUUUGUAUAAUGGGUCAGCGACUUAUAUUCUGUAGCAAGGUUAACCGAAUAGGGGAGCCGAAGGGAAACCGAGUCUUAACUGGGCGUUAAGUUGCAGGGUAUAGACCCGAAACCCGGUGAUCUAGCCAUGGGCAGGUUGAAGGUUGGGUAACACUAACUGGAGGACCGAACCGACUAAUGUUGAAAAAUUAGCGGAUGACUUGUGGCUGGGGGUGAAAGGCCAAUCAAACCGGGAGAUAGCUGGUUCUCCCCGAAAGCUAUUUAGGUAGCGCCUCGUGAAUUCAUCUCCGGGGGUAGAGCACUGUUUCGGCAAGGGGGUCAUCCCGACUUACCAACCCGAUGCAAACUGCGAAUACCGGAGAAUGUUAUCACGGGAGACACACGGCGGGUGCUAACGUCCGUCGUGAAGAGGGAAACAACCCAGACCGCCAGCUAAGGUCCCAAAGUCAUGGUUAAGUGGGAAACGAUGUGGGAAGGCCCAGACAGCCAGGAUGUUGGCUUAGAAGCAGCCAUCAUUUAAAGAAAGCGUAAUAGCUCACUGGUCGAGUCGGCCUGCGCGGAAGAUGUAACGGGGCUAAACCAUGCACCGAAGCUGCGGCAGCGACACUAUGUGUUGUUGGGUAGGGGAGCGUUCUGUAAGCCUGUGAAGGUGGCCUGUGAGGGUUGCUGGAGGUAUCAGAAGUGCGAAUGCUGACAUAAGUAACGAUAAAGCGGGUGAAAAGCCCGCUCGCCGGAAGACCAAGGGUUCCUGUCCAACGUUAAUCGGGGCAGGGUGAGUCGACCCCUAAGGCGAGGCCGAAAGGCGUAGUCGAUGGGAAACAGGUUAAUAUUCCUGUACUUGGUGUUACUGCGAAGGGGGGACGGAGAAGGCUAUGUUGGCCGGGCGACGGUUGUCCCGGUUUAAGCGUGUAGGCUGGUUUUCCAGGCAAAUCCGGAAAACCAAGGCUGAGGCGUGAUGACGAGGCACUACGGUGCUGAAGCGACAAAUGCCCUGCUUCCAGGAAAAGCCUCUAAGCAUCAGGUAACAUCAAAUCGUACCCCAAACCGACACAGGUGGUCAGGUAGAGAAUACCAAGGCGCUUGAGAGAACUCGGGUGAAGGAACUAGGCAAAAUGGUGCCGUAACUUCGGGAGAAGGCACGCUGAUAUGUAGGUGAAGCGACUUGCUCGUGGAGCUGAAAUCAGUCGAAGAUACCAGCUGGCUGCAACUGUUUAUUAAAAACACAG